AGAGCGAACGCUGGCGGCAUGCUUAACACAUGCAAGUCGCACGGUCGGGGCAACCCGGCAGUGGCGGACGGGUGAGUAACGCGUAGGUAUCUAUCCUUGGGUGGGGGACAACUGUGGGAAACUACAGCUAAUACCGCAUGAUGACUGAGGUCCAAAGGCGCAAGUCGCCUGGGGAGAGCCUGCGUACGAUUAGCUAGUUGGUGGGGUAAAGGCCUACCAAGGCGACGAUCGUUAGCUGGUCUGAGAGGAUGAUCAGCCACAUUGGGACUGAGACACGGCCCAAAACUCCUACGGGAGGCAGCAGUGGGGAAUAUUGGACAAUGGGCGCAAGCCUGAUCCAGCAAUGCCGCGUGUGUGAAGAAGGUCUUCGGAUUGUAAAGCACUUUCGACGGGACGAUGAUGACGGUACCCGUAGAAGAAGCCCGGCUAACUUCGCGCCAGCAGCCGC
rnacentral:rRNA from 1 species